GACGGGGGAUGCGAGCGUUAUCCGGAAUCACUGGGCGUAAAGCGUCUGUAGGUGGUGAUGCAAGUCACUGGUGCAAAACUCUGGCUCAACCGGAGGAAAGCCAGUGAAACUGCAUGACUAGAGUGUGGGAGAGGUAGAAGGAAUUCCCUGAGUAGCGGUGAAAUGCGUAGAUACAGGGAAGAACACCGGAGGCGAAAGCGUUCUACUGGAACACAACUGACACUGAGAGACGAAAGCGAGGGGAGCGAGUGGG
rnacentral:rRNA from 1 species